rnacentral:rRNA from 1 species
GAUGAACGCUGGCGGCGUGCCUAAUACAUGCAAGUCGAGCGAAGCGGGAACGGGUGAGUAACACGUGGAUAACAACCUAUAAGAAUGGGAUAACUUCGGGGAACCGGAGCUAUACCGGAUACUUAUAGAUUGAUCCACGCUGCAUAAGCUAGUUGGUAAGGUAACGGCUUACAAAGGCAACUGGGCAUAGCUGAUCUGAGAGGGUGAUCGGCCACACUGGGACUGAGAAACGGUCCAGAAUCCUACGGGAGGCAGCAGUAGGGAAUCUUCCGCAAUGGGCGAAAGCCUGAUGGAGCAACGCCGCGUGAGUGAUGAAGGGCUUCGGAUCGUAAAACUCUGUUAUUAGUGAAGCGGUACCUAAUCAGAAAGCCACGGCUAACUACGUGCCAGCAGCCGCGGUAAUAC